GCAAUCACUUUCUUUUCCAUUUAACUUUCGGUUUACCCUGUCUCCUCAUCUCCUUCUCUUUCUCAGCCUCUGAUAAACGUUCAUCUCUCAACCAUUGCAAUGAGUGAUCCCUUCACAUUAAACUCAUCAAGUCCCCCAAUCUCUCCGUCUCACUCGCUUUACUAUCAAAGCCUGAAGCAUUGUAUAACCGAAAAACACAUGAAAACCUAUAAAUAUAUGAGGGUUGAGAUUGGAAUAUAGCAUCUAAUACACAGGCUUUGAGAUUCUCUUACGUCUAACCCUAGAUCACUCCUUUGAAAAUUUCUUCCUCAGUUCUUCCGAUGCAAUUGUUUCUCAAUCUGAUACUCCCCCCAUGCCCCCCCCCCCCCCCCCCCCACCGGCCACCAAUUUUUACUUUGACCUGAGAAUUGCUGCCAUCAAAGCUUUCACAACCGAGGAAAACAUGACACUGAUAAAAGCUCUAGCACACAGAAAUAAAAGUUUUGAUCUUAGCGGGGUUGAGUUUCAGAAACUGAGGAUCAACUUAAGGAAUGUGCAGGAAAAGAAUUUGCAACUUGCACAGGCAAACAGUCAUACGUUGGAUGUGUGUUCUCCAUCUUUUUAUUGUUCAGUUUUGAGAUGAUUAAGAGAUUAUUUGAAAUACUAUGGUCAAAGUAUGGCGUCUUCGUCUUUUAUUUUUCCUGGCAGGAGCUCAGUACAAACAGAGACAGGGCAUGCUUUUCUGGAAUUGAAGUCGCUCAAAACGAGGCUUUCCUAUUUCAUUAUAUUGCAGCUUCCAUGACCAACUGACAUUGUGUGUACGUUUUCAGCUCAAGCUGCAAGAAUGUAUUACUCGAAUCCAAGAAAAUGCAUACUGAGGGCAAUAGUGUAUAUCAAAUCCUUCCUUGAUAAAUUCUGAUCUUUAACUCUAUAUUGAGAGGUGCGGCUACAAAGCUCUUCCCACGUGUAGAACUUGUGACACCUGGGGAUCUUCAUACAAACCUCUGCAAGUCAACCGAUCAGAUCAAGAAGCUAACUUCCUGUUCAGAGCUCAGAUCGUCAGUGGGGUCCAGCAAAAUGGAUGGUCUUAUGUUUUUUGCACCAGUUGCAGCAGGAAGUUGGAGAAAUCACUGACUUCGCUCCAUUUCAACAAACGUGUGUCACCAAACCGGUUUUAACAGAUUUUGAUAAUUCAUACUUAAUCUCAGCUAUACAAUAUCCAUAUUUGAUUAACAAAUCCAACUUAGCACACUGCAUCUCGGGUAACGUGUCGUGUUUGACACACAUGACGAAACUCACCAAGAUAGAAGCAGCCUCACUGGCUCUUGAGGAGGUUUGCCUCCACAAACACACUCCAUUUAUCUGACGUUUCUGCUACCAUUAUCGCUAUUGUCAUUAACAAGCAAAGCUUAUAUGAACUUGCUGGCAAGCAAUACGUCUUUUAGAUUUUGGUGAUGCCCUACAAUUUUACUACCAACCACCGCACCUUCACAGUGUCUACAUUUACUGAAGAUGUGGCUGUGAAGACUCAUCCAGGGUUUCAGGUUGAAAGCAUCAGCACAGUCCCACAAGCCAGAGUGACAACCACUUGCUUCUGGCAGCCAACCGUGACUGAAUGUUGGAACUGUAUCAGUUAAAUGUUUUGUAUGAAACUAAGUUUACUGAGAUAGGUACAUAAUUCAACUCAACCAAAUCCUUAAACAACCAUCACCUUAUAAAUAUUUUAAUUAAUAUCAUAAUAUUUUUUUGGUUCCAA